rnacentral:lncRNA from 1 species
AGUCUGCGCCCGGCAGUUGUCAUGCAUUAUCUCUCUUCAUCUUCCCAGCUCAAUGAGGUGGGUAAAUUGCCCCAUUUUGCAGGUGAAAACUUGAGGCUCAGAGAGAUUAAGGCAUUUGUCCAAGGUCAUGAAGGUAGUAAUCCAGGAAGGCUUGGUUCGAAUAUGCAGAUGUCUUUUUGUAAGACUGUAUUUCUCGUCUUGCAAAAAAUAAAUACGUUUAGAAAAUGAGACUAACUGGGCAGUUUCUUUAAUGGGAUAAAUUCUAAACACAUAGACAGAUACAGUUUAGUUUUCCCUAACGUAAGCUCUUCGAUAUCUUUUGCCAAAUCAUUUUCUUGGCUUUAAAAAAAAUUUAAAAGAUGGCUUCAGAUACCUUUACUUUUUAUGUACUAGUACUGGACAGAAAAAAAUUAUUCUCUCACAAAAAAUAAAUACAUUUGGUAAAACUGCAUAGAUCUUGAAAAGUCACAAAUUUACUUUUGUAGUUUGACCUUGAUGCCCAAAGGGAACUCACAGUUGGGUUAUUUGCUUGAGAUUUCCUUGUUGCAAAAUUUGUUGCUGGAUUAUGUGGCAAUUUAGUGAUUUGUUCGUUGUCUUAUGCAAUCUUUUUUAGUUCGAUGUCAAAUUUUAAUGCGUAGAAUAUCGUAGGAAGUUUGAUGGUGUGAUUCUUUUUCAUUUGUAUGGAGUGCUACUAGUCAGUGUUUAUAAGUUAACUGAAAAUUCUCAUUUUAGCAUGAGUUUUGUAUUUUUUAAAACUAUGGUGAGAGGAAAAAAUAAGGAGCCAGAGCUCUGUACUGAAAAAAAGUCGAUACAUUUCCUUUGAGUAAUUGAAGCUCUAUGCAUAAUUGCAAAUGUUUAACAAAUCUAUUGAUGCCCAGUUAUAUUACUCUGUAAUUUUCCUAGUAUAUUAUCAAGUUGAAGAAAAUUUGUGGUCUUGCAGUCUCUGUGGAGAAAAGGUGAAAUUACAAAGUUAACAUGUGGAUGGUUUACAGAUUGAUUUGUUGUUUGGUUAAAAUAUAAACAUGUUGAAUCUUAUUGAAUUAUGUUGUAUAUGAUAUCAUUAUAGAAUGGUUAUCCAUGUGCCUCUUUUGAGAAACUAGCUGUUAAAGGCUUAUCUUAAAUAAUUGGAUUGCAUUAGAGACUGAGUCUUAUAAGCAAUGUUUUAGGGGGAGCUUUUGUUUCUAGUUUACUUUAUUGGUACCAAAGGGUUAAACUAACAGGUGCUGUAUUAAAAUAAAGUCAUGUUUGAUACUCUGCA